CUGCAGCCCGCACGUGUCCGGUUGAUGGGGCAGUGACCUGGGCACAGCAGGGCGAUGGCCCAUUACCAAUUUACCAGAGUUGGUUAUCUAAGUCAAAGUUUUUCCUUUUUGUAUUUUUCAUUUUUUCUGAAAGGAAUUUUCAUUCCAUUGCUCAAUACCGGCACCCCUGCCAACAUUGAAGUUGAAGGCGCCAAAUCAGCGGUGGAGCUAGAGCAAAUACGAGGGAGAUACGUUUACCUCAUGAAUGCGUAGGAUUUUACGGUGUAGAUGUGAACAUGGUGAAAUUUUGAUCAUAAUCACUAUUUUUUGAUAUUUUUGUGGGUGCAUCCAUCUCCUGUGUAGUCUAUAGAUCUACCCAUGCACCAAAUAUAGCUCAUGCUACAUAGAAGUUAGUUCAUAGACUACUCUAUUAGAAGCACGUGGCACAUAUUUGACUUGGAAAAUUGCAAAACUCUCAGCUACCAGAUCUUUAAGAUCAUGGACUAAGGGCCUGUUUAGAUUGGCAAUGAAAAUUUUUUAGGUGUCACAUCGAAUGUGUCGGAAGGAUGUCGGGAGGGUUUUUUAGAAACUAAUAAAAAAACAAAUUACAUAGCUCGUCAGGAAACUUCAAGACAAAUUUAUUAAGCAUAAUUAAUCUGUCAUUAGCAUAUGUGGAGUAACUAGGCUUAAAAGAUUCGUCUCGCGAUUCUCAACUAAACCGUGUAAUUAGUUUAUUUUUUUAUCUAUAUUUAAUGUUCCAUGCAUGUGUCCAAAGAUUCGAUAGGAUGGAUGAAAAAAUUUUGGGUGGGAAACUAAACAGGGCCUAAAUCUCCAAUCAAUGUGAUAUUGAUGCAUUGACAAGAUCAAAAUGGCGAACAAGGACAUGUUUUCUACAAUUUUGAACCACCUCAUCUAAAUUAGGUGGGGCUAUGCAUAGGGAUGAUGUUGCACUUGUCAUCGGCGAUCUAGGUGUAGGAAAAAAUUACAUGUCACAAUCCACAUCAGACUGUGAGUGAAGGUAUUUGGAUGUGAAGCUAAAAUCGUGCUGCAGAGUAUUUGAAGAAGCAAUGACAUUCAUGUGACCUGUGCUAAAAUUGUUGUACAUAAAUCUCACGCUAAUCUAUUUUUUUAUUUACAUCAAUCAAUAUAAAUUGUAAAGUGUGAAGAGAGUACAAGCUGCUAAUUAAUGAAUACAUUCUGACAUAUUUUGUCAUUUGUAUUUUUCUGAUAUCAAUAGAAAACUUGUUUUCACUUGUAUUUUUCCAUUUGCACACUUUAUUAAUGGACAAACGUAAGUAUUGUCUCUAUACCGUUAGCACAGGUAAUAUACUGAUUUCAAGAAGUCAAUCAAACUUAAAUUUAAUAAAAUCUUAAUAAAAUCUAUAUAAAAGGUAAAUCUUUAUGAGACAAUCAUACAAAUAAACAUCAUUAGAUUAAUACCAUCAUAUAUUUUAUAGAAAAUCUUUUUAGAGGUACACAUGUUGAUUAUUUUUUAUAUAGAUCUAGUUGAAUUUGAGAUUGAUUAAUCAACUCCUAGAGGUGUUAGGUGUGCAUUUAUUUUAGGACUGAGUGGGUAUUGAACACUUUGUCUGCUGCACAUAGAGGAGUUUUUUUUUUUUUUACAACUACCCAGAGGAGGUUAGUGUUGGUGUUCGUACUUGUCUCUGACUGGAUGGAGAUAAUUUCCCUCUGAAUAUUGCGUUGCGAAAGCUCGCUAAGUGUACGUUGAGCUGAGCCUGAUGGCCUGGUUGUGACUCCACAAAUUGUGAUUUUUCAGACGCCAGCUUACUAAGGUAUGACAUAUACAUAUUUGCAGCAGGACCAACUAGCUUAAAUAGACAUUUAUUUCGCUCGUUCCCCUUUCCUCGGUUAUCAUUUAGGGCCUGUUUAGAUUGUAUAUGAAAAAUUUUUAGAUGUCACAUCGGAUAUGUCGGAAGGAUGUCGGGAGGGGUUUUUAAAAACUAAUAAAAAAACAAAUUACAUAGCUCAUCAGGAAACUGCAAGACAAAUCUAUUAACUAUAAUUAAUCUGUCAUUAGCACAUGUGGGUUACUGUAGCACUUAAGGCUAAUCAUGGACUAACUAGGCUUAAAAGAUUUGUCUCGCGAUUUUCAACCAAACUGUGUAAUUAGUUUAUUUUUUUAUCUACAUUUAAUGUUCCAUGCAUGUGUCCAAAGAUUCGAUGGGAUUGAUGAAAUUUUUUUGGGUGGGGAACUAAACAGGGCCUUAUAUCAUUUCACUGAACUCGCCCUUGCCAAGUUCAGUCCAACAGAAAAGUCGAACCUUUUAGUAUUAGCUUCUUGGGUAAGCUCACUUUUUUUUUCUGAGAGCACGACUUGGUGUGUAUUUCAUUAAGAAAAAAUCCGAUUGUCAAAAAAAUGACUAAGAUGACACGAUGGGAGAAUCCAAAGCGCAGUACACGAACCACAAAGAUAGUAGUUUAGAACAACAAAUACGAAAGAAAGAAAACACGUAAGGGAGAGAGCCCUUCGCCACAACCUAACCAAGGCCUUG
rnacentral:lncRNA from 1 species